GCCCAGAUGGCGGAACUGGCAGACGCGCCAGCUUGAGGUGCUGGUGGGAGCAAUCCCUUGGAGGUUCGAGUCCUCUUCUGGGCA
rnacentral:tRNA from 1 species